CGGUAUGUUUAAGGCAUGCAAGUCGAUCGUGUAUCUUCGGAUAUGCGAGGCAAACGGGAGAGUAACACAUUGGUAACUUACCCUCAACUCAAGUAUAACCCAGUGAAAAUUGGGACAAUCCUUGAUAGUCCAUAGUUUAUACGCAAGAUUAAAUUAUGGUAAAGAUUUAUCGGUUGGGGAUAGGCCUAUGGCUUAUCAGCUUGUUGGUGAGGUAAUGGCUCACCAAGGCUAUGACGAGUAACGGGCGUGAGAGCGUGACCCGUCCCACUGGAACUGAGACACUGUCCAGACUCCUACGGGAGGCUGCAGUCAAGAAUCUUUCGCAAUGGCCGAAAGGCUGACGAAGCAAUACCGCGUGAAGGAAGACGGCCCUCGGGUUGUAAACUUCUUUUCUUAAGGAAGAAUUUGUGACGUUACUUGAGGAAUAAGCAACUGCUAACUUCGUGCCAGCAGCAGCGGUAAUACGAAGGUUGCAAGCGUUAUCCGGAAUUAUUGGGCGUAAAGCGUCUGUAGGUUGUUUACCAAGUUUCAAAUUAAAACUCUAAGCUCAACUUAGAGUGAGUUUGAAAAACUGAUAAACUAGAGAUCGGGGGAGGUAAGCGGAAUGGCUGGUGUAGUAGUAAUAUGCAUUGAUAUCAGCUAGAACACCGAAUGCGAAGGCAGCUUACUAAAACGAUUCUGACACUGAGAGACGAAAGCGUGGGUAGCGAAUGGGAUUAGAUACCCCAGUAGUCCACGCCGUAAACGAUGGGUACUAAGCAUUGGAAGUAUCGAUCCUUCCAGUGCUGUUUAGAUAAGUUA
rnacentral:rRNA from 1 species